UCCCUUAGAUUCAUACCUGAUAAUCAAUCUCUGACGUUACAGGACCCCCCUUGAAUGUUCAACUACAUAAAUCUCAAGAUAAUCUUCCCAGGUUUCUCCGUUUCUUUCUUCAGCAUGAUGUCUCAAGAAAACCAGGUAACUACUGUCUUAGUCUGGAUUUUAUUUUAGAUUUUUAUUUGAUUGGUGUAUUUGAUUGGAUAGGUAAACAACUCAGAGACUAUCAAAUCUGUAUACCUAAGACUAAAGUAAGUAUUCUAUUUAGGGAAUGAAGAAGAACACGAUACUGUCUAAGUAUCCUCCAAAUGAAGGAAAAUCACGAUGCCUCCAUUUUUUUUUCUCAAUCUUUGUUAUCAGUUUUUUCUCUCACCGGAUACUUUCUGCAGAGGAGAACAAUAGAAGAAGAAGAUUGGUGGAUAGUCAUGCUAAACGAGUAAUCAAAACUGAAGGGUCGGUUAAGAGGGAAGGACUAAGAAGAUGGAGAUGUAGUAUGAGCAUUAAUCACCAACAAUUUCAAGACCUAAAAGUGCAUAAAACAAUGUAAAGAUCAGCAGCUUGCCACGGCCUCACAAGCCAUCUCUUGCUUGAACUAAGGUCCGUGUUUCACAAUGCUUUUUAAGAGUCCGAUUGAUUUUUGUUUUACUUUGCAUAUUAUUAUUAUUCAGUUUUUUACUGUUUCAAAGUGACUUGCAAGACUGUCCAAGCUUUAAGGAUGAUGUACUGAACGAUAUUGUUUCGAGAUGGAAAGGCACUUGCAUGGCCCGUGAUGAUUACAGAAAAUCUCACCUUAGAAGGUUAAAUGAUGAGUUAUAUUUCUUAUAUUGUAUGUCCAAACGCCCAAACUCAGUGGCUAUAAAGGUAACUUUUCUACUCUGAAGUGAUAGACCUUAGCGGCAACACCAUAUUUGCUGCGUUGGAUAGUUAAGUCUAUCUAUCGUAUUGUCCGCUUAACUGGAUCGGACGCAGUUAGGAUGGCAGAGGACUACCAAACAGCCCAUCCCUCGAGUCAUGUGCUUGCAACGGCCAAGGAUCAAUCUGACCCUGAUAUAGAAGAUGAAACACCCACCAAAAAAGCCAGUUUAGCGCGUAAUAUGUCAGCCUCCAAAAAAUAGGAUUACCGGUGGCAUAAAAUAUGUCUGCUUUCAGAUAUAUAUCAUACUAACGAUAUCAGUUUCAAAUGGCUGAAGUAGCACUAAUAAAUAUCACAGGUGUUGCCUACUCGACCAACGUUGAAUACGACUUGCCAAGGAGAAAUAUACUAACGAUAUUUGGUUUAAUGACUGAAGUAGCACCUAAUUGAUAUCAAAAGUGUUGCCUACUCAACCAACCUUGGAUAAGACAUACCAAGGAGAAAUAAAAGUUGUGUCGGACGAUGAGGGUUGAAGGGUGCAUUAAUAGUACUUGAGGGGAGAUAUGUAACGUGUUGACUAAAAUAAUUAGUAUUCAAUAUUUAUGUUUUUGGUUGGUUUCG